GUGCCAGCCGCCGCGGUAAUACGGAGGGUGCAAGCGUUGUCCGGAAUCACUGGGCGUAAAGCGCGCGUAGGCGGCGUGAUAAGCCGGUUGUGAAAGCCCCGGGCUCAACCUGGGAACGGCAUCCGGAACUGUUAGGCUAGAGUGCAGGAGAGGAAGGUAGAAUUCCCGGUGUAGCGGUGAAAUGCGUAGAGAUCGGGAGGAAUACCAGUGGCGAAGGCGGCCUUCUGGACUGACACUGACGCUGAGGUGCGAAAGCGUGGGUAGCAAACAGGAUUAGAUACCCUGGUAGUCC
rnacentral:rRNA from 1 species